CAGCCCAUAGCCCGAGGCGGGGCUCGAACUCACGAACCUUGAGAUCAUGCCCUGAGCCGAAGUCGGGUGCUUAACCGACUGAGCCACUCAGGCGCCUCGUGUAUAAUUUUUUUGAAAGAAACAACAUACUCCAAACCGGUGGCAGAUGAAUCACACUAUUGUGCCAAGCAAGGGUAGAUGGAGGGAAUGGAGUUCAAAUUUAGCGGAGGUCUGUGCUUUUAUCAGGUUGCUGCUCAGGCCAGGCGCUUUAGCCAACCCGGAGGGACUCCAGCUGCAGGUGCAGAAGUAAGAGUCCCCUCCCUGUUGCUAGAGCACGUUGCUAGGGAACGAGGGUACGGUUCAAAGAGGAUAUCCUCUUUCUGGGUUGCUGCACAGGUUUUUACCCACUGUCAGUAAGAGAACUAGUUUUACUGGCAGGAGCUAAUUGUCCCCAAGGUCUUCAGAGAGCUGUUUAAAUCCGCGACGAGUCUCAGUGCCCAGAUUGAACACUCUCCGUGCUCGCAAACUCUCAGUAUUUAUAAUCAAAUGCCCCCUUGCCACAGUAGCUGCUUCAUUAUGUUUUUAUUGAUCAGCCCCCCCGCGGGAAGGGUCCCUCCGUAGCCAGAGCUACUGAGUUAUCAACAACAGAUGAGUGGAUGACAUCCUGUCACAGCUGACUUCACUCUUAAUCAAAACAACUUUACUCGUGGAAACAACUUCAUUUUUGUCAUAAACAAGUGGAUUUGAAAUCCUAUCAAAUCAAUAUACACCAGACAGGGACAGGAAAUGAGCCCGAGUAGGGACGGGAGCAGAGCCCAUCCAGAAGAGCCGCAUUGUAUGCAAAGAUAGGAAUUUGAAACACUCUUGAACACUCUAAGGAUCCUUUGAAGGAGGGGCAUUGACUGUGAUAGCUGGGUGUGCGGUGCAGACCAGAGGCUGCUCGCAGGGGACUGGAACCUAGACAGAAGAGGCACAAUCCUCAGCACAACCACUCUUGUUUGGCCCAACACCCAAGCAUAUCUCCUGAAUCAAGGCGAAAGGCAAGGUCAGGGACUACCAGCUGCUGCCUGAAGAUUGCCUGGCAGGCCUGACCCCUUGGCAAAGCAAAGCGUCCAGUGAGGUCUUUGCAAAAAGUCUCUCCAAGGAGCUGAGGAGCUGGGCAUCAGUACAGCAGAAAAAUGCAAACCAAUCAAGUCACAGAUUUUUCAGGCAUGCCAACCUUCUGGUCCUAGGCAUGAAGCAUUCCAAAAAGCCUAGGAAAAUUCAUAUGUUUUCCUAAGAAUGAACCGAUAUCUUGUCUUUCCAAGUUGUAUCCUCUGAUCCCUCCCUGAGAGGCAGCCAUGAUCUCUGAGGAGUGAUAAUAGCUGGGCCUCCUGGCUGAGUGAAUCAUACCAACUGUAAGCUUGGCUUAUGACCCAGAAAUGGAAACAGGAAGUGGCUUACAGAAUAUAAAGAGCACAGUCAAGGAAGGAGUGCAGUAGAAUUCUCCUCGGAUAACAUGGUGUACAAUAGACAGAGGUGAAGACUGGCA